rnacentral:rRNA from 1 species
UACGUAGGGGGCAAGCGUUGUCCGGAUUUAUUGGGCGUAAAGAGCGUGUAGGCGGCCAUGCAGGUCCGCUGUGAAAACUCGAGGCUCAACCUCGAGACGUCGGUGGAAACCGUGUGGCUAGAGUCCGGAAGAGGAGAGUGGAAUUCCCGGUGUAGCGGUGAAAUGCGCAGAUAUCGGGAAGAACACCCGUGGCGAAGGCGGCUCUCUGGGACGGUACUGACGCUGAGACGCGAAAGCGUGGGGAGCGAGCAGG